rnacentral:lncRNA from 1 species
GUACUACCGAACGUUAUCUUGAUUCGCUGUAAAGUAACUGACCUUUUCCAUCUGGUUUGGCGCCAUGAUCUCCGUUAGCCGCAGGCAGCGGCCGCGGAGGCGGUGAGAGCUCAUCUCCUGCUUCGAAUCAGAAAUCAGUAUCAAUCGAUCGACGGCUAGGUUACAGCAACGGAUCAAACCAACAAUUAAUCGAAGCGAAUCAGCUGGCGCGUGCAUCAUGCGCACCUCCAAGCUCCGAUCGCC